AAAAGGUGGCUAUGCUACCGCUUUUGGAUGGGCCCGCGGCGCAUUAGCUAGUUGGUGGGGUAAAGGCUUACCAAGGCAAUGAUGCGUAGCCGAACUGAGAGGUUGAUCGGCCACAUUGGGACUGAGACACGGCCCAAACUCCUACGGGAGGCAGCAGUAGGGAAUCUUCCACAAUGGGCGAAAGCCUGAUGGAGCAACGCCGCGUGGGUGAAGAAGGUCUUCGGAUCGUAAAACCCUGUUGUUAGAGAAGAAAGUGCGUGGGAGUAACUGUUCACGUUUCGACGGUAUCUAACCAGAAAGCCACGGCUAACUACGUGCCAGCAGCCGCGGUAAUACGUAGGUGGCAAGCGUUAUCCGGAUUUAUUGGGCGUAAAGGGAACGCAGGCGGUCUUUUAAGUCUGAUGUGAAAGCCUUCGGCUUAACCGGAGUAGUGCAUUGGAAACUGGGAGACUUGAGUGCAGAAGAGGAGAGUGGAACUCCAUGUGUAGCGGUGAAAUGCGUAGAUAUAUGGAAGAACACCAGUGGCGAAAGCGGCUCUCUGGUCUGUAACUGACGCUGAGGUUCGAAAGCGUGGGUAGCAAACAGGAUUAGAUACCCUGGUAGUCCACGCCGUAAACGAUGAAUGCUAAGUGUUGGAGGGUUUCCGCCCUUCA
rnacentral:rRNA from 1 species